CAACCCUCAAGCUCUGCUUGGUAUUAGGCUUCACCUGCUACAGGUGGGCCUUAAAAUCAGUGGCGGUGCCAUCUGGCUUCAAGCGUAGUAAUUUUUCUCACUUGGGAGUACCAGUUGUGUGCCUGCUAUAAAACCCCAAUUUUUAAA
rnacentral:misc_RNA from 2 species